rnacentral:rRNA from 1 species
UAUAGCGACGGAGAUCCACCUCUUCCCAUCCCGAACAGAGAAGUUAAGCCCGUUAGCGCCGAUGGUACUGCCGAAUGGUGGGAGAGUA